rnacentral:rRNA from 1 species
GAUGAACGCUGGCGGCGUGCCUAAUACAUGCAAGUCGAGCGAACAGACGAGGAGCUUGCCCCUCUGACGUUAGCGGCGGACGGGUGAGUAACACGUGGAUAACCUACCUAUAAGACUGGGAUAACUUCGGGAAACCGGAGCUAAUACCGGAUAAUAUAUUGAACCGCAUGGUUCAAUAGUGAAAGACGGUUUUGCUGUCACUUAUAGAUGGAUCCGUGUCGCAUUAGCUAGUUGGUAAGGUAACGGCUUACCAAGGCAACGAUGCGUAGCCGACCUGAGAGGGUGAUCGGCCACACUGGAACUGAGACACGGUCCAGACUCCUACGGGAGGCAGCAGUAGGGAAUCUUCCGCAAUGGGCGAAAGCUUGACGGAGCAACGCCGCGUGAGUGAUGAAGGUCUUCGGAUCGUAAAACUCUGUUAUUAGGGAAGAACAAAUGUGUAAGUAACUAUGCACGUCUUGACGGUACCUAAUCAGAAAGCCACGGCUAACUACGUG